rnacentral:rRNA from 1 species
UACAGAGGGUGCAAGCGUUAAUCGGAAUUACUGGGCGUAAAGCGUGCGUAGACGGUCAUGUCAGUCGGGUGUGAAAGCCCCGGGCUCAACCUGGGAAUGGCCAUGGAAACUGGCGAACUGGAGUGUGGCAGAGGGGGGUGGAAUUCCGCGUGUAGCAGUGAAAUGCGUAGAGAUGCGGAGGAACACCGAUGGCGAAGGCAGCCCCCUGGGCUAGCACUGACGCUCAGGCACGAAAGCGUGGGGAGCAAACAGG